GUGGGGAAUAUUGCACAAUGGGGGAAACCCUGAUGCAGCCAUGCCGCGUGUGUGAAGAAGGCCUUCGGGUUGUAAAGCACUUUCAGCGAGGAGGAAAGGUUGGUAGCUAAUAACUGCCAGCUGUGACGUUACUCGCAGAAGAAGCACCGGCUAACUCCGUGCCAGCAGCCGCGGUAAUACGGAGGGUGCAAGCGUUAAUCGGAAUUACUGGGCGUAAAGCGCACGCAGGCGGUUGGAUAAGUUAGAUGUGAAAGCCCCGGGCUCAACCUGGGAAUUGCAUUUAAAACUGUCCAGCUAGAGUCUUGUAGAGGGGGGUAGAAUUCCAGGUGUAGCGGUGAAAUGCGUAGAGAUCUGGAGGAAUACCGGUGGCGAAGGCGGCCCCCUGGACAAAGACUGACGCUCAGGUGCGAAAGCGUGGGGAGCAAACAGGAUUAGAAACCCUAGUAGUCC
rnacentral:rRNA from 1 species